AAAACUUUUAAAUUAGUCCAGAGAGGCUAGUAAGGGUAUAUAUGGGAUAAGUGUAUUUUUAUGGAUAGAGACCCUACCUUACUGCGCCUUGUCAGUAAGGUUUUUUUAUU
rfam:Clostridium cellulolyticum H10, complete genome.